rnacentral:rRNA from 1 species
UACCUGGUUGAUCCUGCCAGUAGUCAUAUGCUUGUCUCAAAGAUUAAGCCAUGCAUGUCUAAGUAUAAGCAUUUAUACAGCGAAACUGCAGACGGCUCAUUAAAACAGUUAUGGUUUAUUUGAUGGUUCAUUUACUACUUGGAUAACCGUAGUAAUUCUAGAGCUAAUACAUGCUUAAGGGGCGACUUUAGAAGCCCUGUAUUUAUUAGAUUAAAGCCAGCCGCCUUCGGGCGCACUUGGUGAAUCAUGAUAACUUAUCGGAUCGCCGGGCUUGUCCCAGCGACGUUUCAUUCAAAUUUCUGCCCUAUCAUGCUUUAGAUGGUAGGAUAUGGGCCUACCAUGGCAGUGACGGGUAACGGAGAAUUAGGGUUCGAUUCCGGAGAGGGAGCCUGAGAAACGGCUACCACUUCUAAGGAAGGCAGCAGGCGCGCAAAUUACCCAAUCCUGAUUCAGGGAGGUAGUGACAAGAAAUAACAAUAGUUCGGCAAUAGUCAAACUAAUUGGAAUGAGUGCAAUUUAAACAUCUUGACGAGGAACAAUUGGAGGGCAAGUCUGGUGCCAGCAGCCGCGGUAAUACCAGCUCCAAUAGCGUAUACUAAAGUUGUUGCAGUUAAAAAGCUCGUAGUUGGAUUUCUGCGCUGAGAGGGAGGCGCGUGCGCAAUUACGCGUUUUGUGUUGACUUCUCGUGCAUCCUGUCACGAUCCACGCUACUCUUCAUUGAGUGGUGUCGGGGAUUGACUCGUUUACUUUGAGAAAAAUAGAGUGUUCAAAGCAGGUAAUUAGCCUUGAAUAAGUUAGCAUGGAAUAAUGAUAAAGGACUUCGGUUCUAUUUGUUGGUGUUCGGGACUGAAGUAAUGAUUGAUAGGGACAGUUGGGGGCAUCAGUAUUCCCAAGCGAGAGGUGAAAUUCUAGGACCUCGGGAAGACUAACUGCUGCGAAAGCGUUUGCCAAGGAUGUUCCCUUUGAUCAAGAACGAAAGUUGGGGGAUCGAAGACGAUCAGAUACCGUCGUAGUCUCAUACUAUAAACUAUACCAGCUAGGGGAUCGGCCGGCGUUAUAUACAUAAGGGCCCGGUCGGCACCUUAUGAGAAAUCAAAGCAUUUGGGUUCCGGGGGGAGUAUGGUCGCAAGGCUGAAACUUAAAGGAAUUGACGGAAGGGCACCACCAGGUGUGGAGCCUGCGGCUCAAUUUGACUCAACACGGGAAAACUUACCAGGUCCAGACAUAGUAAGGAUUGACAGAUUGAGAGCUCUUUCUUGAUUUUAUGGGUGGUGGUGCAUGGCCGUUCUUAGUUGGUGGAGUGAUUUGUCUGGUUAAUUCCGUUAACGAACGAGACCCCAGCCUGCUAAAUAGCGCUCGUUUGCAUUUGCAAGCGCUGAGCUUCUUAGAGGGACUAUGGAUUCGCAAUACAGACCAGGGAAGUUUGGGGCAAUAACAGGUCUGUGAUGCCCUUAGAUGUUCUGGGCCGCACGCGGGCUACACUGACGCGUGCAACGAGCAUAUCAGCUGGCCCGAAAGGGUCUUUGGCUAAUCUUUUGAACUCGCGUCGUGCUAGGGAUCGACUAUUGCAAUUGUUAGUCGUGCAACGAGGAAUACCUUGUAAACGCGAGUCAUCAACUCGCAUUGAAUACGUCCCUGCCCUUUGUACACACCGCCCGUCGCUCCUACCGAUGAAUGUUAAGAUGAAAUUUUCGGAGGGGUCCGAUGACCCAGGCCUAGCCUGGCGAUCUGGUAUCGCAAAGUUACUUGAAUCUGAACAUUUCGAGGAAGGAGAAGUCGUAACAAGGUUUCCGUAGGUGAACCUGCAGAAGGAUC